UCAAAAGCUACAAGCUAAAUAUCAAAUAUCCGAGCUCAAAUAUAUGGAGAUGCUGCUAUGAAAAUGAGAGAAUUGAUGGAGAGGAACAAUGUGUAUAUGCCAACUAUUUGAAGUUCUAUUAAAGGAAAUAGGUAACAACUAUUCUGAUACAUUUUUUUCUUUGACUUGAAAGUACAUUUAUCAAAUACUCAAGCGGAUCUUAAUUUGGAGUUCCAUAGUGCAAGAUAUAAAUAAUUUAGUGACUAUGACUCGAGUAGACAGCUUGAAGUGAACAUGAGUAAAUAGUCGAACUAUGUGCAAUUUUGAUUAUAUUAUCUUGAGAACAUGUUGUGAGGAUUGGUAAAAGCAUGUCAACUGGUUGCUUAUUAUUUACAUAUCAACUUAUUAAGUUUUAAUGCCUACUCAGUUUAUUUCUUCGUGUUUUAUAGAGGUUCGUUAGCUAGCUCGAUUCGGUCGACGUCAGAGAUAAGCAUUACACUAUCCAGUCGAUUUCUCGGUACUUUUGAACUCAUGGAAGUUGUGUAAACAUGACAUGUAUAGGCUAGUUUAUGAGAAUAUGUUUUUGGUUACUUUGGCUUAUUGUAUAGUUAUGUGUUUUGAUGUUCUUAAGCCAUGAGAUUUGGCUUAGUUGUUAUAAUGGUCAAAUGUGUAUAAGAUGAUAUUUUUUGGCAAGUUUGCUUAUGAAGGAUUUGAUGCAUAUGAUAAUAUUGGUAUGUGAUGAGUUGGUGAAUUGGAAAAUGCUUGAAUGUUAUUUGAUAUUAGGAUAGGUAUGAGGUUGAAUCAUAUUAGUUUGAUAGGUGUUUAAAUGCACAAAUGGUAUUGAUUUGAGUAUGUAAAUGAUUGGUUUUGAAAUGGC
rnacentral:lncRNA from 1 species